rnacentral:lncRNA from 1 species
UCGCGGCCGGGUGCGUGGCGGCGAGGCGCCGGUGGGGUCGGCGCCGCACGGGCGGCCCGAGCCGCGCGUCUCCUCCCAGGCGCAGCUGCCGCCCGGCGCCGGACUACGGAGGGAAACCCCAGGCCCCAGGAGGAGGGCAAGGUGGUGGCGGCGGAUGGCGGGCGUGCCCCCGUGAGCGGACGCUCCCCCGAGGGGUGCCAGGGCCAGCUGGCGGGUGCCGGGCUCCCCCUCAGCACCCCGUCUUUCUGCACGCGUACCGCCGCCCAGGGCGGCGGCAGUGGCGGGGGAGGCACCCCCACGGGGCCUUCGGGUCGUUUCCCUCAUCCCAGGGCCAGGUACCUAGCGUCCGCGCCGAGCCGGGCGGAGGUUUAAAGACUCGUGCGGCCCGCGGCGGCCCGCGAGGGCCGCCGGCGGUCCCCGUGCUCGCCCCCCGCGGGCAGCAGGGCCGGAGAGGGGUUGGAGCCCGCUCCUCUCUCCGCAG